rnacentral:rRNA from 1 species
UUUAUUGGAGAGUUUGAUCCUGGCUCAGGAUGAACGCUGGCGGCGUGCCUAAUACAUGCAAGUCGAGCGAACGGAUUAAGAGCUUGCUCUUAUGAAGUUAGCGGCGGACGGGUGAGUAACACGUGGGUAACCUGCCCAUAAGACUGGGAUAACUCCGGGAAACCGGGGCUAAUACCGGAUAAUAUUUUGAACUGCAUAGUUCGAAAUUGAAAGGCGGCUUCGGCUGUCACUUAUGGAUGGACCCGCGUCGCAUUAGCUAGUUGGUGAGGUAACGGCUCACCAAGGCAACGAUGCGUAGCCGACCUGAGAGGGUGAUCGGCCACACUGGGACUGAGACACGGCCCAGACUCCUACGGGAGGCAGCAGUAGGGAAUCUUCCGCAAUGGACGAAAGUCUGACGGAGCAACGCCGCGUGAGUGAUGAAGGCUUUCGGGUCGUAAAACUCUGUUGUUAGGGAAGAACAAGUGCUAGUUGAAUAAGCUGGCACCUUGACGGUA